rnacentral:rRNA from 1 species
AUUGAACGCUGGCGGCAUGCCUUACACAUGCAAGUCGAACGGCAGCACGGGAGCAAUCCUGGUGGCGAGUGGCGAACGGGUGAGUAAAGUAUCGGAACGUGCCCAGUCGUGGGGGAUAACGUAGCGAAAGUUACGCUAAUACCGCAUACGAUCUAUGGAUGAAAGCGGGGGAUCGCAAGACCUCGCGCGAUUGGAGCGGCCGAUAUCAGAUUAGGUAGUUGGUGGGGUAAAGGCUCGCCAAGCCGACGAUCUGUAGCUGGUCUGAGAGGACGACCAGCCACACUGGGACUGAGACACGGCCCAGACUCCUACGGGAGGCAGCAGUGGGGAAUUUUGGACAUGGGCGAAAGCCUGAUCCAGCCAGGCCGCGUGCAGGAUGAAGGCCUUCGGGUUGUAAACUGCUUUUGUACGGAACGAAAAGGUUUGGCCUAAUAAGCUGAGCUCAUGACGGUACCGUAAGAAUAAGCACCGGCUAACUACGUGCCAGCCGCCGCCGUAA